AUACGGAGGGUGCGAGCGUUAAUCGGAAUUACUGGGCGUAAAGCGUACGCAGGCGGUUGGUUAAGUUAGAUGUGAAAGCCCCGGGCUUAACCUGGGAACUGCAUUUAAAACUGGCGAACUAGAGUUGAGUAGAGGGGAGUGGAAUUUCAGGUGUAGCGGUGAAAUGCGUAGAGAUCAGAAGGAACACCAGUGGCGAAGGCGACUCCCUGGACUCGAACUGACGCUGAGGUACGAAAGCGUGGGUAGCAAACGGGAUUAGAAACCCCAGUAGUCC
rnacentral:rRNA from 1 species